rnacentral:rRNA from 1 species
CCUACGGGGGGCAGCAGUGAGGAAUAUUGGUCAAUGGGCUUACGCCUGAACCAGCCAAGUCGCGUGAGGGAAGACUGCCCUAUGGGUUGUAAACCUCUUUUGUCAGGGAGCAACGCCGGCUACGCGUAGCCGGACUGAGAGUACCUGAAGAAAAAGCAUCGGCUAACUCCGUGCCAGCAGCCGCGGUAAUACGGAGGAUGCGAGCGUUAUCCGGAUUGAUUGGGUUUAAAGGGUGCGUAGGCGGAAUGCCAAGUCAGCGGUAAAAUCGCGGGGCUCAACCUCGCUCCGCCGUUGAAACUGGCGUUCUUGAGUGGGCGAGAGGUAUGCGGAAUGCGUGGUGUAGCGGUGAAAUGCAUAGAUAUCACGCAGAACUCCGAUUGCGAAGGCAGCAUACCGGCGCCCAACUGACGCUGAAGCACAAAAGCGUGGGUAUCGAACAGGAUUAGAUACCCGGGUAGUC